rfam:Paraburkholderia tropica strain P-31 P31_contig_14, whole genome shotgun sequence.
GUAUUCUUGCGCCCAUGAACCGCCUCCUGUCCGCUCUCCGACGUCGCCGCUCGCCCCACCUUUAGGGCCUGGCUUAGUUACGGACGCGCGUUGCAUCGUUCAACGCACAGGAAAGUUCGAAUCACGAAAGCCACGGCCAGUCCGUGGCUUUUUG